AUUGAACGCUGGCGGCAGGCCUAACACGUGCAAGUCGAACGGUAACAGGAAGAAGCUUGCUUCUUUGCUGACGAGUGGCGGACGGGUGAGUAAUGUCUGGGAAACUGCCUGAUGGAGGGGGAUAACUACUGGAAACGGUAGCUAAUACCGCAUAACGUCGCAAGACCAAAAAGGGGGACCUUCGGGCCUCUUGCCAUCGGAUGUGCCCAGAUGGGAUUAGCUAGUAGGUGGGGUAACGGCUCACCUAGGCGACGAUCCCUAGCUGGUCUGAGAGGAUGCCCAGCCACACUGGAACUGAGACACGGUCCAGACUCCUACGGGAGGCAGCAGUGGGGAAUAUUGCACAAUGGGCGCAAGCCUGAUGCAGCCAUGCCGCGUGUAUGAAGAAGGCCUUCGGGUUGUAAAGUACUUUCAGCGGGGAGGAAGGGAGUAAAGUUAAUACCUUUGCUCAUUGACGUUACCCGCAGAAGAAGCACCGGCUAACUCCGUG
rnacentral:rRNA from 1 species